GGCUGGGGCUCAGUGGCAGAGCACUUGCCUAGCAUGCAUGAGGCGCUGGGUUCGAUUCCCAGCACCA
rnacentral:tRNA from 1 species